rnacentral:rRNA from 1 species
CAGUAGCCGCGGGAAUACAGAGGAUGCAAGCGUUAUCCGGAAUGAUUGGGUGUAAAGCGUCUGUAGGUGGCUUUUCAAGUCCGCCAUCAAAUCCCCGGGCUCAACCCUGGACAGGCAGUGGAAACUACCAAGCUGGAGUACGGUAGGGGCAGAGGGAAUUUCCGGUGGAGCGGUGAAAUGCGUAGAGAUGUGGAGGAACACCAGUGGCGAAGGCGACUCUCUGGUCUGUAACUGACGCUGAGGAGCGAAAGCGUGGGGAGCGAACAGGAUUAGAUACCCGCGUAGUCCCUGUCUCUUAUAC